AACAAAAGCAUAAAAAUAAUGAUAAAAAAUAGGUAAAAAAAAAAAAAAAAAUUAAAAAAUUUAGUAAAAGGUUUACAUUUAUACGAAGGUUGUUCACAAGGGCGCCUCUUGCAUCAAAGAUGGUUUUCGCAAUUAUACAGUUCUUGUCUUUGUGCUCGUGUUGCUCUGUGGCAUCAAAAGGCACUUACUUGGUCUCAAAAAUCGCGCCCUGAGCUAAACGAUAUCAAUAUUAAAAAUAAAGUUCAAAUAAAGUUAUUUCGCUGAUACCAUCGAAGGUUGCUUUCUCAUGUUAACCCGAAACUUUGAAGAUAUUUAACCAAUUAACUGUGUCGAACUCUUGGUACACUCUUUGGAUGCAGUUUUCAAAGGUAAGCCUAAAGAUAGGCAUUACAAAAUCCUCCUAAAACAUUCGAACUCGUCAUGUGACAUAAGUCGCAUAUAAAAAUUAAAAAAAAAGGAAGAAAAAAAAUUUAUAUUAAAAAAAUAAAACUUACACAUAUAAACUCACUUUAGCCUUAUAGAUUAAAAUAUAUCAGUAAAAUAUAAUAUAAAUGAAAAUAAAAAUAAAAAUUAAACCAAAAACGCAACAAACGUGAAUAAAAAGAAAAAAGUAACUUUGACUUAAUUGCAGGCCAUUCAACUGCCAACAGCAAUAGAAAAAAAAAAAGAAGAAGAAAACAAAAUUUGUUUUUUUUUUUGCUUUUAAUUGUUUAUGUUCGAUGUGCCAAACAAACUUCCCCCCCACCACCAGCAUAGCAUUGCUGAUAAAGUUUAGCAAGGAAAAUGAAUAA